GAUGAACGCUCGCGGCAGGCCUAAUACAUGCAAGUCGAACGAGAUUAAGAGGCUUGCUUCUUAUGAAAGUGGCGCACGGGUGCGUAACGCGUAUGCAACCUACCUUAAUCAGGGGGAUAGCCCGAAGAAAUUCGGAUUAAGACCGCAUAAAAACACAGGAUAGCAUUAUCCAAUGUUCAAAUAUUUAUAGGAUUAAGAUGGGCAUGCGUGUCAUUAGCUAGUUGGCGGGGUAACGGCCCACCAAGGCGACGAUGACUAGGGGAUCUGAGAGGAUGACCCCCCACACUGGUACUGAGACACGGACCAGACUCCUACGGGAGGCAGCAGUAAGGAAUAUUGGUCAAUGGAGGGAACUCUGAACCAGCCAUGCCGCGUGCAGGAAGACAGCCCUCUGGGUCGUAAACUGCUUUUAUUCGGGAAUAAACCUUUCUACGUGUAGGAAGCUGAAUGUACCGAAGGAAUAAGGAUCGGCUAACUCCGU
rnacentral:rRNA from 1 species